rnacentral:rRNA from 1 species
CGGAGGAAAAGAAACUAACAAGGAUUCCCCUAGUAACUGCGAGUGAAGCGGGAAAAGCUCAAAUUUAAAAUCUGGCAGUCUUUGGCUGUCCGAGUUGUAAUCUAGAGAAGUAUUAUCCGCGCUGGACCGUGUACAAGUCUCCUGGAAUGGAGCGUCAUAGAGGGUGAGAAUCCCGUCUUUGACACGGACUGCCAGGGCUUUGUGAUGUGCUCUCAAAGAGUCGAGUUGUUUGGGAAUGCAGCUCAAAAUGGGUGGUAAAUUCCAUCUAAAGCUAAAUAUUGGCGAGAGACCGAUAGCGAACAAGUACCGUGAGGGAAAGAUGAAAAGAACUUUGGAAAGAGAGUUAAACAGUACGUGAAAUUGCUGAAAGGGAAACGCUUGAAGUCAGUCAUGUUGGCCAGGGAUCAACCUUGCUUUUCUGCUGGGCUUACUUUCUGGUCAAUGGGUCAGCAUCAAUUUUGGCUGGUGGAAAAAGUUCAAGGGAAUGUGGCAUCUUCGGAUGUGUUAUAGCCUUUGUUCACAUACACUGGUUGGGAUUGAGGAACUCAGCAUGCCGCAAGGCCGGGUUUUUAACCACGUACAUGCUUAGGAUGCUGGCAUAAUGGCUUUAAUCGACCCGUCUUGAAACACGGACCAAGGAGUCUAACAUGCCUGCAAGUGUUUGGGUGAAAAACCCGAGUGCGUAAUGAAAGUGAAAAGUUGAGAUCCCUGUCGUGGGGAGCAUUGACGCCCGGAUCUGACCUUUUGUGACGAUUCUGCGGUAGAGCAUGCAUGUUGGGACCCGAAAGAUGGUGAACUAUGCCUGAAUAGGGUGAAGCCAGAGGAAACU